rnacentral:rRNA from 1 species
UACGGGGGGAGCAAGCGUUGUUCGGAUUUACUGGGCGUAAAGGGCGCGUAGGCGGCCACCGCAAGUCGAUUGUGAAAUCUCAGGGCUUAACCCGGAAAGGUCAACCGAUACUGCGGGGCUAGAGUGCAGAAGGGGCAACUGGAAUUCUCGGUGUAGCGGUGAAAUGCGUAGAUAUCGAGAGGAACACCUGCGGCGAAGGCGGGUUGCUGGGCUGACACUGACGCUGAAGUGCGAAAGCUAGGGGAGCGAACGGG